rnacentral:rRNA from 1 species
UGAGGAAUAUUGGACAAUGGGCGCAAGCCUGAUCCAGCCAUGCCGCGUGCAGGAAGAAGCAUCUAUGGUGUGUAAACUGCUUUUGUACGGGAAGAAACACUCCUUCGUGAAGGAGCUUGACGGUACCGUAAGAAUAAGGAUCGGCUAACUCCGUGCCAGCAGCCGCGGUAUUACGGAGGAUCCAAGCGUUAUCCGGAAUCAUUGGGUUUAAAGGGUCCGUAGGCGGUUUAGUAAGUCAGUGGUGAAAGCCCAUCGCUCAACGAUGGAACGGCCAUUGAUACUGCUAGACUUGAAUUAUUAGGAAGUAACUAGAAUAUGUAGUGUAGCGGUGAAAUGUUUAGAUAUUACAGGGAAAACCAAUGGCGAAGGCAGGUUACUACUAAUGGAUUGACGCUGAUGGACGAAAGCGGGGGGAGCGAACA